rnacentral:rRNA from 1 species
UACGUAGGGCGCAAGCGUUUGUCCGGAAUUAUUGGGCGUAAAGAGCUCGUAGGCGGCUUGUCACGUCGGGUGUGAAAGCCCGGGGCUUAACCCCGGGUCUGCAUUCGAUACGGGCUGGCUAGAGUGUGGUAGGGGAGAUCGGAAUUCCUGGUGUAGCGGUGAAAUGCGCAGAUAUCAGGAGGAACACCGGUGGCGAAGGCGGAUCUCUGGGCCAUUACUGACGCUGGAGGAGCGAAAGCGUGGGGAGCGAACAGG